rnacentral:rRNA from 1 species
ACGUGCUAAUCUGCGAUAAGCGUCGGUGAGGUGAUAUGAACCGUUAUAACCGGCGAUUUCCGAAUGGGGAAACCCAGUGUGUUUCGACACACUAUCAUUAACUGAAUCCAUAGGUUAAUGAGGCGAACCGGGGGAACUGAAACAUCUAAGUACCCCGAGGAAAAGAAAUCAACCGAGAUUCCCCCAGUAGCGGCGAGCGAACGGGGAGGAGCCCAGAGCCUGAAUCAGUGUGUGUGUUAGUGGAAGCGUCUGGAAAGGCGUGCGAUACAGGGUGACAGCCCCGUACACAAAAAUGCACAUAUUGUGAGCUCGAUGAGUAGGGCGGGACACGUGGUAUCCUGUCUGAAUAUGGGGGGACCAUCCUCCAAGGCUAAAUACUCCUGACUGACCGAUAGUGAACCAGUACCGUGAGGGAAAGGCGAAAAGAACCCCGGCGAGGGGAGUGAAAAAGAACCUGAAACCGUGUACGUACAAGCAGUGGGAGCCUCUUAAUGGGGUGACUGCGUACCUUUUGUAUAAUGGGUCAGCGACUUAUAUUCUGUAGCAAGGUUAACCGAAUAGGGGAGCCGAAGGGAAACCGAGUCUUAACUGGGCGUUAAGUUGCAGGGUAUAGACCCGAAACCCGGUGAUCUAGCCAUGGGCAGGUUGAAGGUUGGGUAACACUAACUGGAGGACCGAACCGACUAAUGUUGAAAAAUUAGCGGAUGACUUGUGGCUGGGGGUGAAAGGCCAAUCAAACCGGGAGAUAGCUGGUUCUCCCCGAAAGCUAUUUAGGUAGCGCCUCGUGAAUUCAUCUCCGGGGGUAGAGCACUGUUUCGGCAAGGGGGUCAUCCCGACUUACCAACCCGAUGCAAACUGCGAAUACCGGAGAAUGUUAUCACGGGAGACACACGGCGGGUGCUAACGUCCGUCGUGAAGAGGGAAACAACCCAGACCGCCAGCUAAGGUCCCAAAGUCAUGGUUAAGUGGGAAACGAUGUGGGAAGGCCCAGACAGCCAGGAUGUUGGCUUAGAAGCAGCCAUCAUUUAAAGAAAGCGUAAUAGCUCACUGGUCGAGUCGGCCUGCGCGGAAGAUGUAACGGGGCUAAACCAUGCACCGAAGCUGCGGCAGCGACACUAUGUGUUGUUGGGUAGGGGAGCGUUCUGUAAGCCUGUGAAGGUGUACUGUGAGGUAUGCUGGAGGUAUCAGAAGUGCGAAUGCUGACAUAAGUAACGAUAAAGCGGGUGAAAAGCCCGCUCGCCGGAAGACCAAGGGUUCCUGUCCAACGUUAAUCGGGGCAGGGUGAGUCGACCCCUAAGGCGAGGCCGAAAGGCGUAGUCGAUGGGAAACAGGUUAAUAUUCCUGUACUUGGUGUUACUGCGAAGGGGGGACGGAGAAGGCUAUGUUGGCCGGGCGACGGUUGUCCCGGUUUAAGCGUGUAGGCUGGUUUUCCAGGCAAAUCCGGAAAACCAAGGCUGAGGCGUGAUGACGAGGCACUACGGUGCUGAAGCAACAAAUGCCCUGCUUCCAGGAAAAGCCUCUAAGCAUCAGGUAACAUCAAAUCGUACCCCAAACCGACACAGGUGGUCAGGUAGAGAAUACCAAGGCGCUUGAGAGAACUCGGGUGAAGGAACUAGGCAAAAUGGUGCCGUAACUUCGGGAGAAGGCACGCUGAUAUGUAGGUGAAGCGACUUGCUCGUGGAGCUGAAAUCAGUCGAAGAUACCAGCUGGCUGCAACUGUUUAUUAAAAACACAGCACUGUGCAAACACGAAAGUGGACGUAUACGGUGUGACGCCUGCCCGGUGCCGGAAGGUUAAUUGAUGGGGUUAGCGGUAACGCGAAGCUCUUGAUCGAAGCCCCGGUAAACGGCGGCCGUAACUAUAACGGUCCUAAGGUAGCGAAAUUCCUUGUCGGGUAAGUUCCGACCUGCACGAAUGGCGUAAUGAUGGCCAGGCUGUCUCCACCCGAGACUCAGUGAAAUUGAACUCGCUGUGAAGAUGCAGUGUACCCGCGGCAAGACGGAAAGACCCCGUGAACCUUUACUAUAGCUUGACACUGAACAUUGAGCCUUGAUGUGUAGGAUAGGUGGGAGGCUUUGAAGUGUGGACGCCAGUCUGCAUGGAGCCGACCUUGAAAUACCACCCUUUAAUGUUUGAUGUUCUAACGUGGGCCCCUUACCGGGGUUGCGGACAGUGUCUGGUGGGUAGUUUGACUGGGGCGGUCUCCUCCUAAAGAGUAACGGAGGAGCACGAAGGUUGGCUAAUCCUGGUCGGACAUCAGGAGGUUAGUGCAAUGGCAUAAGCCAGCUUGACUGCGAGCGUGACGGCGCGAGCAGGUGCGAAAGCAGGUCAUAGUGAUCCGGUGGUUCUGAAUGGAAGGGCCAUCGCUCAACGGAUAAAAGGUACUCCGGGGAUAACAGGCUGAUACCGCCCAAGAGUUCAUAUCGACGGCGGUGUUUGGCACCUCGAUGUCGGCUCAUCACAUCCUGGGGCUGAAGUAGGUCCCAAGGGUAUGGCUGUUCGCCAUUUAAAGUGGUACGCGAGCUGGGUUUAGAACGUCGUGAGACAGUUCGGUCCCUAUCUGCCGUGGGCGCUGGAGAACUGAGGGGGGCUGCUCCUAGUACGAGAGGACCGGAGUGGACGCAUCACUGGUGUUCGGGUUGUCAUGCCAAUGGCACUGCCCGGUAGCUAAAUGCGGAAGAGAUAAGUGCUGAAAGCAUCUAAGCACGAAACUUGCCCCGAGAUGAGUUCUCCCUGAGACUUAGAGUCUCCUGAAGGAACGUUGAAGACGACGACGUUGAUAGGCCGGGUGUGUAAGCGCAGCGAUGCGUUGAGCUAACCGGUACUAAUGAACCGUGAGGCUUAACCUUACAACGCCGAAG